rnacentral:sRNA from 1 species
CACAUAUAUUUGUAAGUCAUUUUUCGUUUAAAUGAUUUACAAAUAUAUGUGAUUUUUUUUAACAGGAAAAUAUAAUUUUUUAAUUUGGGAGGUACCACUAUGAAUAAGGGUACAGUAAAAUGGUUUAAUUCUGAAAAAGGAUAUGGAUUUAUUUCCAUGGAAGGCGGAGAGGAUGUAUUCGUGCAUUUUUCUGCAAUCCAAAGCGAUGGCUUUAAAUCUUUGGACGAAGGUCAGGCGGUUACGUUUGAUACCGAAAAUGGAAACCGCGGUCUGCAGGCUGCAAAUGUCCGUAUAGCGUAACCUAAAAAAGAAAAACACGCCCGCUGGCGU